rnacentral:rRNA from 1 species
AACGAACGCUGGCGGCAUGCCUAACACAUGCAAGUCGAACGAGACCUUCGGGUCUAGUGGCGCACGGGUGCGUAACGCGUGGGAAUCUGCCCUUGGGUUCGGAAUAACAGUUAGAAAUGACUGCUAAUACCGGAUAAUGUCUUCGGACCAAAGAUUUAUCGCCCAGGGAUGAGCCCGCGUAGGAUUAGCUAGUUGGUGAGGUAAAGGCUCACCAAGGCGACGAUCCUUAGCUGGUCUGAGAGGAUGAUCAGCCACACUGGGACUGAGACACGGCCCAGACUCCUACGGGAGGCAGCAGUGGGGAAUAUUGGACAAUGGGCGAAAGCCUGAUCCAGCAAUGCCGCGUGUGUGAUGAAGGCCUUCGGGUUGUAAAGCCCGUUUCGGCGGGGACGAUGAUGACGGUACCCGCAGAAGAAGCCCCGGCUAACUUCGUGCCAGCA